GACAUUGGAGUAUUUCUGUUAGUUUACAACGCAUGAAUAAUUUUUCAAAAUUGAUUAGUUCAUUAUCUUUUGCCUUUGUGAUAGACUCCACAACCUCAAAAGCGAUACAAUUAAGUUGACUUUCCCACAUGCCGGUGAAAUUGUAUAAAAAAAGUGGGUCUCCUGGUUGAAAGCUAGAUAUCCUAACCGCUGGAGGACAUUGGAGUAUUUCUUUUAGUUUACAAUGCAUCAAUAAUUGGUCUAAAUUGAUUUCUUCAUUAUCUUUUGCCUUCGUGAAAA
rnacentral:lncRNA from 1 species